UACGGAGGGAGCUAGCGUUGUUCGGAAUUACUGGGCGUAAAGCGCACGUAGGCGGCUAUUCAAGUCGGGGGUGAAAGCCCGGGGCUCAACCCCGGAACUGCCCUCGAAACUAGGUAGCUAGAAUCUUGGAGAGGCGAGUGGAAUUCCGAGUGUAGAGGUGAAAUUCGUAGAUAUUCGGAAGAACACCAGUGGCGAAGGCGACUCGCUUGGACAAGUAUUGACGCUGAGGUGCGAAAGCGUGGGGAGCGAACAGG
rnacentral:rRNA from 1 species